rnacentral:tRNA from 2 species
GGAGGGGUGUCCGAGUGGUUAAAGGAGGCAGACUGUAAAUCUGUUAGCUAUGCUUACGGAGGUUCGAAUCCUCCCCCCUCCA